AAUCAGUAGAAAGCAGUUAGCAAAUGUAAAUCACAUAUUAUGACAACUGGAAAAGAGCAGAAUGUCAUUUAAUUGUUCAGUUAGGUGGUAGUGGAGAAGACAGUUUUAAAAAGUGACUUUUUUUCCCUUGAGCAGUAAGACCUAACUCUUUAACCCUUCUACUGUGCCUCUAAUAGAGACUAUGUAUACAAGCCUCCUUCAUUUCUAGGAUUUGUCAGUGCUUUUAGAGCUGACCGCUUCUUCCUUUUGGCUUCUCUGAAGCAACUUCAGGUAUAAACAUGUAAUCUAUAUGUUCGAAUGACUUUACUGUUCAUGCAGCACCUGAAAUGCAUGCAUAACAUAUGGCACAGCAGUAACUACUUCCUUUUCUUACAGAACAGAAAUGGAAUGUGUAUUAUGCAUGUAAAAAUGAAUUCUCCGAUAAGAACAGAGAACACCCAAGGAUUAGUAAGGAUCUCUUUAAUAUACUGGUCCUGUGCUCCACACUCCUUGUUAACAUGAGGAGUCUCCCACAAUAUGUUAAAAGUGUUUUUGGUACGCGAGAUGUUAGCUGCACCACUUCUGCUUGCUUCCCAUCAAACUGGAAAAAUGCAUCUGCUCUGCUUUCUGAGCCACCCUCUAGAAAAUAUGAAGAAGCCCUGGAGCCCUGACUUACCAGUUGAUAGUCACUCAUACAAUUCAGAUUUUACAUCCAUCCCAGACAGAGAAAAUGAGAAAGAUUUAGCACCUGAUGGCACUGAGGAAAAGAAGGAGAGAGAAAAGAAACACACCAAUUUCACUUUGUGCAAUGUUUGUAACAUUCAGCUGAACUCUGCAGCUCAGGCACAAAUCCACUAUAAUGGCAAAUCCCAUCAGAAGAGAUUAAAACAGCUCAGCAAUGGAAAUUUCAAAAGUGAUAAUGAUUCAGCAGAUUCCCAGAUGGGACUACAGAAUGUAACAGAGUGUUGGCUCUUCAGGGCAGAUCUUUCAACUGAAGCCUAUCAACCGAUCAGCUGAAUUGAACUGUUCAACUGUUCAGCAGUAUUUCAACUGAUGCAGUGCUUCCCCUUUCAAGUCCUCUGGUAAACAUCUGAUUUGUCCUAAAUCAUGAUUACCCUUCUCUCUGAAAUGCACCAGAGAGGUUCAGGCAACCUGUGAUAUCGUCUAAAUUGCUUUUCAUUCUGUCAAAACUAACGAUUUGAAUGAUAUCUUACCAAUCCUGUGCAAUACAGCCCACAACAAGGCCGUGUACUUUAUAAAAUCAGUGUGAUUAUUAGUUGUCCUGAGAUACUUCUGAAAAGCAUAUUAACUACCCAUCAUUUCACUGUCUUUGCUAGUAUGCCCUCUGGGUAUGGGAUAUACACAAUUCAGAGAAGGUUAAUUGGAGAAAUUCAAGCUCUGGGCUUUUUGUCAUUUUCUUCUUUAUAGCACAAACAUGCAAUGCUAUAUUGGCAGCCUUUCAAGUCCUCUGAAAAACUGAAAUACUUAUUUAUGGUGAUACCUGAUUUUUCAUUUGCAACCAAUUUCCUAAACCUGUAAGGCUUGUUUGAGCUUCAUAUAUACAUAUAAGGAGAAGAGAAAGACAGUUCAGUCCUGGAAAGUCUUUGAGGAAGAUAUGAAAAAUAACCUUGGCAAUGUUGCAAAUUCUAAAACUCUGACUAAGGAGAUAGAGAAAGGUAUUAGCUGUCCCAUACCAUUGCUCAGCAGACCUAAAAUAAACUGUCAUAUUAUCUGACCUAUAAGUGGUAU
rnacentral:lncRNA from 1 species